rnacentral:rRNA from 1 species
CAGAUAAGGAGCUUGCUCCUUUGACGUUAGCGGCGGACGGGUGAGUAACACGUGGGUAACCUACCUAUAAGACUGGAAUAACUCCGGGAAACCGGGGCUAAUGCCGGAUAACAUUUAGAACCGCAUGGUUCUAAAGUGAAAGAUGGUUUUGCUAUCACUUAUAGAUGGACCCGCGCCGUAUUAGCUAGUUGGUAAGGUAACGGCUUACCAAGGCAACGAUACGUAGCCGACCUGAGAGGGUGAUCGGCCACACUGGAACUGAGACACGGUCCAGACUCCUACGGGAGGCAGCAGUAGGGAAUCUUCCGCAAUGGGCGAAAGCCUGACGGAGCAACGCCGCGUGAGUGAUGAAGGUCUUCGGAUCGUAAAACUCUGUUAUUAGGGAAGAACAAAUGUGUAAGUAACUGUGCACGUCUUGACGGUACCUAAUCAGAAAGCCACGGCUAACUACGUGCCAGCAGCCGCGGUAAUACGUAGGUGGCAAGCGUUAUCCGGAAUUAUUGGGCGUAAAGCGCGCGUAGGCGGUUUCUUAAGUCUGAUGUGAAAGCCCACGGCUCAACCGUGGAGGGUCAUUGGAAACUGGGAAACUUGAGUGCAGAAGAGGAAAGUGGAAUUCCAUGUGUAGCGGUGAAAUGCGCAGAGAUAUGGAGGAACACCAGUGGCGAAGGCGACUUUCUGGUCUGUAACUGACGCUGAUGUGCGAAAGCGUGGGGAUCAAACAGGAUUAGAUACCCUGGUAGUCCACGCCGUAAACGAUGAGUGCUAAGUGUUAGGGGGUUUCCGCCCCUUAGUGCUGCAGCUAACGCAUUAAGCACUCCGCCUGGGGAGUACGACCGCAAGGUUGAAACUCAAAGGAAUUGACGGGGACCCGCACAAGCGGUGGAGCAUGUGGGUUUAAUUCGAAGCAACGCGAAGAACCUUACCAAAUCUUGACAUCCUUUGACAACUCUAGA